UGAAAAAGCUAUGCUUUCUCUCUGAUUAACCUUUCGACAGCGUUGGUUGCCUAUUCAGCGCCUGGAACUCGUUGACCCUUGUCCGUGGAGGGGAAGCCCGUCUACAAAUUCGACGCUCUGAGCAGCCAUGUGCAAGCGGAGCUCGACAUUUUUUGAGUCCGCCAUUGUUAGUCUUGAGUUCGGAUCCGUCGAGAGUGGUACUGUAAUUCCGCGUCGCUCGUGACUAUCAAGCGAAUAUUAGUCAAAUCCCUCCAUUUUAACUACAGUUUCUCCCCAAAGAUAUUGCUCAAACGAAUUCUCGCUCCUCACCGCAGGUUUUGGUGUUGUGCGUUUGUGGUUUUGUGAAGUGUUGUGCGCGUGUUUGUUGGAUCGACUUUGCCGGCAUUUCUCCCUCCGCCGGAUAUUCUACGCAGUUGAAUUUUCGGAGUGACAAGUUCUAGUGUGCAAUAAUGGGUGGACGACAGAGUAAAAGAUCGGUGGACAUAACGGCCUCGCCGCCGAAGGAGGCCGCCGAAGAGAAUGGGGCCGUGGCCACGGAAGAAGGGGCCGGGGCCGCCUGCAAGCUCGAAAAGGCCACCGAAAACGUCGAGAACGUCAAAGCCACCCUCAACGGCGACGCCACACACACCAAAGCACAGUCGUUGCCGCCCGCAACACCAACACCGCCCCAGUGCACAGUUCCCUAUUGCUCUCUUUGUUUGGAGGCGAAGGUGUUAGGCAAAGAUUAUAUAGCUCAUGACGAAACUCCGACACAGAACGGCACAGAAUCCCCGGCGAAAACAACCGAGCCCGAAACGCCUGUCAAGGCCGAGGAGGCCACCCCCGAGACAGUGACGACCCCGGAGAAAGCCGAGGAAGUGACGUCACCGGUGACCUCGCCGGACGAGAAGACGGCCGACGACGGCGAGAAAACGUCGGAGAAGCCGGAGAAGAAGGAGAAGAAAAAGAACAAGAUCAUCAAAACCCUGAGGUCGCUCAGCUUCUCGCGAAAGGCCAAGCCCGACAAAACCCCCGUCACCUCGCCCACGUCCAAGGAAGAAUCAGAGAAAACCGAAGAAAACGCCGAAACCCCCGCCAAGACGGAGGAACUCGCAUCACCCCUGACGUCCGUCAUCGAAGAAGCUGGAGCUGCCGCGGCAACCGCCGUAACCAAAGUUGAGGAAACGCUGACAGAAGUUAAGAAUGAAGUAGUCACAGUAUGCGAAAAAGUCACGAAGGAAGUCUCAGAAAAAGUGGAAGCAGUUGUCGAAAAGGUCGAAGCUGUUGUCGAGAAGAAAUCCGAGCCAGAAAAAGUACCAGAAGUCAAAACCGAAACUGCACCUGCAUCCGCGCCCGCUGAAGAAGUUCCACCCCCUCUGCCCGCAAGUCCACCCCCCACAGAAAUCCCCUCUCCAACACCAGUAGCUCCCUCUGAAACAAUCAAAAAUGUUGUCAAUGAGCAUCAACAACAAGAUAACGAGGAGAUGAACGGUGGAGGUGAAUCACUAGCAGAGCUAACACCCGAAGAAAAUGGUGAGAAGCCUUUGUUGAACGGUGAUCAUGACCAUUCAGGGACAAACGGCUUUGACAGUGACAAAGAAAUCAAGGCUCCCACGUCUGAUAAGGUUGAAGAAGAACUAAGUAGCAAGGUGGAAUCUUUAAAACUGGCAAACUCUGAAGACUUGCCCGAGAUCAUCGAUCAAAACAAUGAAGUCGCUGUUACAAAUGAAUGA
rnacentral:lncRNA from 1 species